rnacentral:rRNA from 1 species
GUGAACGCUGGCGGUAGGCCUAACACAUGCAAGUCGAACGGCAGCACAGUAAGAGCUUGCUCUUACGGGUGGCGAGUGGCGGACGGGUGAGGAAUACAUCGGAAUCUACUUUUUCGUGGGGGAUAACGUAGGGAAACUUACGCUAAUACCGCAUACGACCUACGGGUGAAAGCAGGGGAUCUUCGGACCUUGCGCGAUUGAAUGAGCCGAUGUCGGAUUAGCUAGUUGGCGGGGUAAAGGCCCACCAAGGCGACGAUCCGUAGCUGGUCUGAGAGGAUGAUCAGCCACACUGGAACUGAGACACGGUCCAGACUCCUACGGGAGGCAGCAGUGGGGAAUAUUGGACAAUGGGCGCAAGCCUGAUCCAGCCAUACCGCGUGGGUGAAGAAGGCCUUCGGGUUGUAAAGCCCUUUUGUCGGGAAAGAAAAGCAGCAGGUUAAUACCCCGCUGUUCGGACGGUACCCAAAGAAUAAGCACCGGCUAACUUCGU